UACAGAGGUCUCAAGCGUUGUUCGGAUUCAUUGGGCGUAAAGGGUGCGUAGGUGGCGAUAUAAGUCAGCUGUGAAAGCCUGGGGCUUAACCCCAGAAGAGCAGUUGAAACUGUGUUGCUAGAGUGCUGGAGAGGAUACAGGAAUUCACGGUGUAGCAGUGAAAUGCGUAGAUAUCGUGAGGAAGGCCGGUGGCGAAGGCGUGUAUCUGGACAGCAACUGACACUGAGGCACGAAGGCUAGGGGAGCGAACGGG
rnacentral:rRNA from 1 species